rnacentral:rRNA from 1 species
UACAGAGGUGGCAAGCGUUGUUCGGAAUUACUGGGCGUAAAGGGCGCGUAGGCGGCUUGGUCAGUCCCGUGUGAAAUCCCUCGGCUCAACUGAGGAACUGCACGGGAAACUGCCUGGCUUGAGUUCGGGAGAGGGAAGCGGAAUUCCGGGUGUAGCGGUGAAAUGCGUAGAUAUCCGGAGGAACACCGGUGGCGAAGGCGGCUUCCUGGACCAAUACUGACGCUCAGGUGCGAAAGCGUGGGGAGCAAACAGG